UUAGUCUUUUAAUUGGAGACUGGAAUGAAAGAGUAAACCGGGAGAAGCUUUUUUAGGUUAAGAAAAUGAAGUUAACUUUUUAGUAAGAAGGCUAAAAUUUUUCUUGGGGACAAGAAGACCCUAUAAAACUUUAUAUUUUAUCUUUUUUAGAUUGAAGAGGAAGUAUUUUGCUGGGGCGGCAGAGAAAAGAAGCUUUCUUUAAAAUGUAAGACAGAUUGUUUAGGUAUCUAAAAUUUUUGAAGUAGGAAUAAGUUACUUUAGGGAUAACAGCUUAAUCUAUUUUGAAAGUUCAAAUUGACAAAAGAGAUUAGGACCUCGAUGUUGAAUUAAAAUUCCUUUAGAGAGCAAAAG
rnacentral:rRNA from 1 species